rnacentral:lncRNA from 1 species
UAACUUAAAUGAUUUACAUAGGAACAUCUUCGCAACAUAAUUCAGAAAACCAUAAAUACUAAUUGAGAAAAAUAAACUGAUGUUUUAUCAGUGGAAAUGGAAGUGAGUUUUCUAUGGCUGACAAUUGCAUCUCUCCUUUUUGGUAUUGUUUUUCGGAAGAAAAGAGAAAUUGGAAAUCUGACAGAUUUCAGAGUUAUGCAAGGCUUUUAAGCGUGGUUGGCAAGUCCUUUCGAACACCGCGGGUGGCAUGUUGCAAAGUGAAUUUAGUCUUAGAAUGUCUGCAGAGAAAGAAUAAGACAAUUUAGUGAUUCUAAAAACAUUCAUGCAGAUUCUAAGAAAUUUGUCAGUCUUUCAGCAGGAUGCUGACUACAAGAAACAUACUUUCCGAGAGAAAUAGAAGGGCAUCAGCUUGUAGCUAAUGAUUUUGAAUAUUUGGAAAGGAGCAUGCUAAACAGCAUUCAAGUUGAGGUUUUGUUUAGGAAAUAAAAACUGCACAAAUCUAGCAGAGAAAAAUCUUCAGAGAAUCCAUUGUUCGCAGAAAUUGUCUUAGAUUCACUGAAGUGGUUGGACUUUUGUAACAAGAUCAAGUUGUAUAUGAUUAGCACAAAUGAACUAAUAAUUCAUAAAGACUGUACACCGAGAAAAGAAGGCAAAUGUGCAAGGUAGAGGACCUAAGUUGAAAGAGAUGUGACUGAGUAUGAAAAUGAAAUAACUUUAAAUGUUCUUUUCUGAAAAUGAUACCAACUAAUAAUGCAACAUGGUUUGAAGGGGAUACAGUAUAAUGCGGAUGUUAUGCAAUAAAUAUAUACAAAAGCAAAUUGAACACCAAUAAUAGUAAACGAUCAACAAUCUUUAGAAUUUCCUUGUUCUUGGAAUACAAUCCAAAGGAACAGCGGGAAUUCCCGUUUGAGAAAAUGAUAAACAAGGAAGCAAAAAACAAGGAUAUAUACAAAUAGAACCCUGUUGUAUUUAAAAAUAAAAUGUAGAGGAAAAAAAAGAAAAUGUGACAUUAUUUAUAGUAAUGACAAUAAGCAGCACAAGACAGAAGGCCAAAUAAAUAGAAACAGAAGCAAACAUAGAUAUCUUUUGUUUAGGAAUGGAAAGCAAGCACUCUGAUACUAAUUUCUGACUCCACCCUUUUAACAUUAUCUCUCCAGAGGCAAUAAGAGAUUUGCAGGCUCUGGAGAUCUGUGAGGCUUUAAAGGUGGAUUGGCGUGAUCCCCAAGGUCCUUAAGUUGAUGACAGCUGAGUUCCUUGAACCAAAGCAACAGUGUAGGAAGAU